rnacentral:lncRNA from 1 species
UUUUAAAAACAAGUUAAAUUUUUAUUUUACUUUUAAAGCAAUAGUAGAAGAACAGAGACAAUCAGAAAACAGAAAGAAGCCCACCAUAAUUUUAUGAUAAAAAUUAGUAUAGUUUUUGUGCAUUAUUUUUUUCUUAAUAUACCUCUGAAGAGUUGAGCUUCUAGCAUACAUGUAGCUUUUAGCUUGUUUACUUAUUUAGGUUGGUCUCCUGUACAUUGUUUGGUGGUUUGGGCAUAAAGUACAGUUGCUGAAACCGGCCAGUUACCAUUGGCUAAAUAAUGAAAUAUAAUUAGAGCUAAGAAUGAUUAAU